AGUGCCUGUUUUGACUUUUCAUUCAGACAAUCACCAAUUAGACAGAAUCCCUGUCCGAAGCUGAGAAAGAUUCAUCUUGUUUCUUGUUUAUGUUCCUGUCUGAAAGUUUAAAAAAAAAAGUCCACAGAGAGAGGAGUCUAGGGUUUGAGAGGAGCUUAUGGGUUUGAUUUCAAUGUUUUUUAUUUUCAAAACCCAGUUUUUAAUUGUGUGAGGCCAUAGAGAAAUAUUGGGUAGUAUAAGAAGAAAUUAAAGAAAAAGAUUAUAGAAGAUGGUUGCAAGAACCCCACAAAAGCAGAGGAAGGUUGUGAUGGUGGCGCCUCCUCUUAACUCAGAUCUUCUCAGGGAAACAAUCAACAAGGUUGAUAAAUGUAUGGAAAGAGACUGCAAGAGCUGCAAUACACAAUAGCAAGAGGAACCAAAGUUAUUUCUGGUGUGAACCUUAGCUCUCCAAGCACUAGAACUUACUUGAAGACUAGUCUUAGAUGCAAGAAAGAAACUUUAAGGAUCAAGAAUGCUACUAACAAGAAAUCUCCAUAGGAAAGCUUCCAGGUUCCUCACCAGGAGACUGGAGGAAAAUGUCACUACAAGCAAGAAGUCGACUAUUAUUCCCAGGCAUCAUCUUCUUUUGGCGAUUAGGAACGAUGAAGAGUUGGGUGGUCGAGAUUCGAAUCCAGGUGACGGAACUCACAGAUGUGAACUCUUUAUCGAACAAUUUAAUUGAAGAUGCCGAGAUGUUUUUUUCACGUACAUUGGAAGUGCUCUAACUAAUUUGAUCAAGCAAUUGCCUAGAGUUACCAAAGUCCUGUGCUGAUAUAUUCCUUCUUUAAAAAUCAGGAAUUCUGCAUAUAUAGAAAAGAAAAAAAGAAUAUAGCACAUAAUUUUAGGGCUGGGCGAUAAAGAUUCUAUUGCAAUAACUAAAUGUACAAAAUAAUAUUAUAUAAUAUUGCAGAAAACGAUGAUCAGGAUAGUGAGUUGCUAGAUGAGUGAAAAAACUAGUUUUAUAAAAAGUACAAAGUCAAACUGAUAGUAGUACGUCUAGAUACAGUUGCAAAUUAAGGAAUGAGUUAGAUAAUAAAACGAAAUUAAGCUUAAAAAAAAACAAAAUGAAAUUCAAUAUUAUAUAAAUUUAGUUUUGUCGUAAUAUGAAAAUAUAAUAAAGUACUACGACAAUACGAAGAACGCUAUUUACUAGAUAGAUAGUGUUGUGAUAAAUUGUCAAGGUUUGGUUCGACCAGACAAUAUGGGACCUUCACGAUGUCUGUCUCAUGUUUCCUGCAUGCCAUGCAUUCUAUUUACUCUUUCCUUCUCUACGUGCCCACGUCUCCACUUUUAUUCAUUUUCUUAUUACUGAUUGCUCAAACUUGUGGUACGAUCAUUACUGUUUAAGAUUCUUUCUUUUAAAGGUAGGUUUACCUGAUACUAUAUGGUAAGCUAGGUUUCUCGAAAGAUGGGAUGCACUUAAAGUCUCAUUUAAACUAUUCUCAAAAUACCAACAUAUAUGGCCAGAAAUCAACACUGUAAUCUGCAGUUCGAUUCCUAUUGAGUAUUGACUACCAGAAGAUUAAAAAUUAUCGGCAUCCGGGGUCCAAAGAAUAGUAGGUUGGUUUCGGCAACUGUGGUUAAUUCAUAAAAAAAUAACUAUUCUCCUAACUAAAUAGAUAACAUCAGAAAUAUUUGCAAAAUGGCACAGUGCCUAACCGAGGCAUUCAGUUAGGCAAACGAUCAUGUAUAAUUGGAAUCGAUGCAUGCAGUAUAUUGUUUUGACGAAACAAUGCGAGCCAUCGAUUAUUCAGAAAUUUACGUAGCUCUUUUAUCAAUAGGCACUUAGGUCUUUAUAUUUUGAACAAAAUAAUAAUAAUAAGAAAUUUAUUUACACGAGUGUUCAAAAAAAUAUUAUUUACAUGAAUAAAUACAAGAACAAUUUCUACAUGUAAAAAAGUACACAUUGUUUUGUGUAAGUUAAAAAUUUACUAAAAUUAAUGUAAUAAGUAAAACGUUGGUCCUUGAAACUUGGUUUGUGGAUAGUUCAUUUGUCACUAUACUAAUAUUGAGUCUAGAUCAAUUUCUUUGAGAGGUUUCUGAGUUGUACGUAGCGGCAUUUCUUGAUAUAUGUAUAGUUCAUUUCGUACUACCCUAAAUUCAAAGUAAUAAAAAGGAUAGUUUUUAUAUUUUAUUUUUGGUUAAAUUAAAAGGAUAAAUUAAGGGAAAUUAGGCGAGAUGAUGCUACAAAAAAGCAUAAUCUAUUGAGUAGUCAAUUGCCCUAAUUUUUUACUGUUCCACUUGUCUUUUAUAUAAUAUUGCUGUAUUACCCCUGUUUGAAACCGAUGAAACCUGCUAGAGAAAAAAAUUAAAGUAAUAAUUAUUUUUUUGCAAAACUAUAUCGUGUCUCUUCUAGAUUUACACAUUUUUGAUUCACCCUAAAUUAUCUCAGGCGUUUGCGAAAAAGAUUCAGUUUCAUGAGUUGCCGGUUUACUGCUUUUGAAAAUCUUCAGAAGAGACGAAAAAUUAAUAGGCCCAACGGUAUUUGCGUUAAUCCUCACCGAUUCGCAUUCACAUCCCAAUUCGCACUGACCCUUGCCGACAAGACUUAUGCAGUGGCGAUCACCUCCAUCUAUACAAACAACACCAUCAUCACGAUCGGUUAUUUCAUCGUCAUCGUCACCACCGUAUGUUCUUCUCUUUUGUUUACUGUGAAUGAUCUAAGUUAAUCGGAGAAGAUGAACAGUUUUGUUUAUUUUGUUUUAUUCUAUUCGCGAACGGAAUAGAAAUGUAAAAGAAUAUGUAUUAUGUUUGUUCUAUUCCUAUUAUGUAAUAUGAUAUAUUCGGCAA